AUUGAACGCUGGCGGCAGGCCUAACACAUGCAAGUCGAGCGGAUGAAGGGAGCUUGCUCCUGGAUUCAGCGGCGGACGGGUGAGUAAUGCCUAGGAAUCUGCCUGGUAGUGGGGGAUAACGUCCGGAAACGGGCGCUAAUACCGCAUACGUCCUGAGGGAGAAAGUGGGGGAUCUUCGGACCUCACGCUAUCAGAUGAGCCUAGGUCGGAUUAGCUAGUUGGUGGGGUAAAGGCCUACCAAGGCGACGAUCCGUAACUAGUCUGAGAGGAUGAUCAGUCACACUGGAACUGAGACACGGUCCAGACUCCUACGGGAGGCAGCAGUGGGGAAUAUUGGACAAUGGGCGAAAGCCUGAUCCAGCCAUGCCGCGUGUGUGAAGAAGGUCUUCGGAUUGUAAAGCACUUUAAGUUGGGAGGAAGGGCCGUAAGUUAAUACCUUGCUGUUUUGACGUUACCAACAGAAUAAGCACCGGCUAACUUCGUG
rnacentral:rRNA from 1 species